rnacentral:RNase_P_RNA from 1 species
CCAGAGGGUCGGGCGGCCGCGGGUGCUUUCGGGCACGCGAGGAAAGUCCGGGCUCCGCGGAACGACGGUGCCGGGUAACGCCCGGCGGGGGUGACCCCAGGGAAAGUGCCACAGAGAGCAGACCGCCAACGCCUGGCGACAGGCACGGCAAGGGUGAAAGGGUGCGGCAAGAGCGCACCGCGCGGCUGGUAACAGCGGCGGCAUGGCAAACCCCACCGGGAGCAAGACCGAAUAGGGAUGGCAUAUGGGCGUGUUCCCGCUCGUCAUCCGGGUUGGUUGCUGGAGCCCGUCAGCAAUGGCGGGCCUAGAGGAAUGGUCGCCCAUCGCGUUUCGGCGCGUGGACAGAACCCGGCUUACAGACCCUCUGGCGCU